rnacentral:rRNA from 1 species
GUACAAACUGAACUAAAGUGAAACCGCCAAAAGCUCAGUAAAUCAGUUCUCAUUUCACGAGAUAAAGAAUUACAAAAUGAAUAACCACGGUAAUUCUGGAGCUAAUACAUGCAACACAAAAAUAUUUCCCGCAUGCAAAUGUUGGGAAAAAAAUGCUCUUAUUGUUCCACAAGACCAAUCGCUCUUGCACAAAGAGCAUCGAUCUACACUCUAAAUAAUUCAAAUAGAUCGGACGAUCUAUCGGCGCUAUACCUUUUCAAAUGCCUAAUUUAUUAAACUUACGAUGGUACACUUUGUGUCCACCAUGGCCCUCAUGGGUAACGGAGAAUUGGGGUUCCACUCCGGAGAGGGAGCCUGAGAAACGGCUACCACAUCCAAGGAAGGCAGCAGGCACGCAAAUUACCCAAUCCCGGCACGGGGAGGUGGUGACAAUAAAUACCAAUACGGGACUCUUUUGAGGCCCCGUAAUUGGAAUGAGUGCACAUUAAACCCUUGAACAAGGAUCCAUUGGAGGGAAAGUCUGGUGCCAGCAGCCGCGGUAAAUCCAGCUCCAAUAGCGUAUAUUAAAUUUGCUGCGGUUAAAAAGCUCGUAGUUGGUACUACUAAAUUACUGCAACACUGUCGGUUCGCCGCCUGUUGGUGCGUGUUACUGGCAUGCUGUUGCUUUGACCUGUUCGGCUCGAAUAAAAAACGGGGAGACUUUCAUGAAUGGUGUCGCUGUUGAGGGGAUCACAUACCGCGAGCGUCCACUCAAACGAGCGUCGUUGGGGUCAAACCCUUCGUCGCCUCGGGGCGUCUCCGCGAGUCUUCCAACCGUACCUGUGUGAUUGUUCACUUUCACCGUCUAUUCAUCCCAUCCUCUCGCGAGCUCUUCACUGAGUUUCGAUUGGUUUGGGGCCGACACGUCGACACUUUGAACAAAUUAGAGUGCUCAAAGCAAGCUAAAAAUUUCUGCCUGAAUAAUGGUGCAUAGAAUAAGAGAAAAGGACCUUGUUCGUUCUAUUCUGUUGGUCUCCGGAACACAGGGUAAUGAUCAAUAAGGACUGUCGGGGGCAAUCGUAUUGCGGCGUGAGGUGAAAUCUGGAUCGUCGCAAGACGCUCGAAAGCGAAAGCAAUUGCCAAGUAUGUCUUAAUUGAUCAAGAACGAAAGUUAGAGGUUCGAAGGCGAUCAGAUACCGCCCUAGUUCUAACCAUAAACGAUGCCAGCCAGCGAUCCGCCGAUGUUCUUUCUUUAUGAUGACUCGUGCGGGAAGCUCCUCCCCGGGAAACCAAAGCUUUCGGGUUCUGGGGGGAGUAUGGUUGC